rnacentral:tRNA from 2 species
CCCUGGUUAGCUCACUUGGUAGAGCGCUCCACUUGUAAUGGAGAGGUCCCGGGUUCGAUACCCGGACCAGGCG